UACAGAGGUCCCAAGCGUUGUUCGGAUUCAUUGGGCGUAAAGGGUGCGUAGGCGGCGCGGUAAGUCGGGUGUGAAAUCUCGGAGCUUAACUCCGAAACUGCAUUCGAUACUGCCGUGCUUGAGGACUGGAGAGGAGACUGGAAUUUACGGUGUAGCGGUGAAAUGCGUAGAUAUCGGAAGGAAGACCAGUGGCGAAGGCGGGUCUCUGGACAGUACCUGACGCUGAGGCACGAAGGCCAGGGGAGCAAACGGG
rnacentral:rRNA from 1 species